AACGAACGCUGGCGGCAUGCCUAACACAUGCAAGUCGAACGACGGCUUCGGAAUUAGUGGCGCACGGGUGCGUAACGCGUGGGAAUCUGCCCUUGGGUUCGGAAUAACGUCUGGAAACUGACGCUAAUACAGGGAGAUGACGUAAGACAAAAGAUUGAUCGCCCAAGGGUGAGCACGCGUCCGAUUAGCCAGUUGGUGAGGUAAAAGCUCACCAAGGCGAAGAUACGUAGCUGGUCUGAGAGGAUGAUCAGCAACACUGGGGCUGGGACACGGCCGGGAUUCUUACGGAAGGCAGCAGUGGUGAAUAUUGGACACCGGGCGAAUGCCGAAGCCAUCAGGGCCGCGUGAGUGAUUAAGUCCGUAGGGUAGUAAAGCUCUUUUUCCCGGGAUGUUAAGAACCGUACCGAGAGAAUAAGCCCCGCCUAACUCCGU
rnacentral:rRNA from 1 species